UGUUCUAUGGCUGAACUGGUAAAGGCAUUGCCGAUGACAGACGAGGUUGCGGGUUCGAGUCCCGCUGGAACGG
rfam:Operophtera brumata OBRT01_Sc05969, whole genome shotgun sequence.